UGCCAACUCUCGGUUCUCUGACUCCAAAAUGGCGGUUUGAGACGCCGAGCGAGUCUGUGAGCUUUGAGUCGGCAGC
ensembl:miRNA oni-mir-10802 oni-mir-10802